rnacentral:rRNA from 1 species
UACGUAGGGGGCGAGCGUUGUCCGGAAUCAUUGGGCGUAAAGCGCGUGUAGGCGGCCCGGUAAGUCCGCUGUGAAAGUCCAGGGCUCAACCCUGGGAUGCCGGUGGAUACUGUCGGGCUCGAGUCCGGAAGAGGCGAGUGGAAUUCCUGGUGUAGCGGUGAAAUGCGCAGAUAUCAGGAGGAACACCAAUGGCGAAGGCAGCUCGCUGGGACGUGACUGACGCUGCGACGCGAAAGCGUGGGGAGCAAACAGG